rnacentral:ncRNA from 2 species
GAAGUGGGUGCGAUGCCCACACGGUCCCGCCACUGUAAGCGGAGAGCGCCACGUCAACGGAUGUCACUGGGUCGCAGGUAGGUCACGGGUUGAACCCCGUGACCUACCCGAACGGCAGUAGGCGGCGGUCUUCAGACCGUCGCGAACACCGGCCUGGGAAGACUGACAUGGCGCGCCGAUCCGCGAGUCAGGAAA